GAUGAACGCUGGCGGCGUGCUUAACACAUGCAAGUCGAACGGAAAGGCCUCUGCUUGCAGGGGUACUCGAGUGGCGAACGGGUGAGUAACACGUGGGUGAUCUGCCCUGCACUUCGGGAUAAGCCUGGGAAACUGGGUCUAAUACCGGAUAGGACAAUGGUUUGGAUGCUGUUGUGGAAAGUUUUUCGGUGUGGGAUGAGCUCGCGGCCUAUCAGCUUGUUGGUGGGGUAAUGGCCUACCAAGGCGUCGACGGGUAGCCGGCCUGAGAGGGUGUACGGCCACAUUGGGACUGAGAUACGGCCCAGACUCCUACGGGAGGCAGCAGUGGGGAAUUUUGCACAAUGGGCGCAAGCCUGAUGCAGCGACGCCGCGUGGGGGAUGACGGCCUUCGGGUUGUAAACUCCUUUCGCUAGGGACGAAGCGUUUUUGUGACGGUACCUGGAGAAGAAGCACCGGCUAACUACGUG
rnacentral:rRNA from 1 species